rnacentral:rRNA from 1 species
UGCCGGAGAGAAGUUGUUAAGCCUGCUGCUUGGGGAGUACGUCCGCAAGGAUGAAACUUAAAGGAAUUGGCGGGGGAGCACCGCAACGGGAGGAGCGUGCGGUUCAAUUGGAUUCAACGCCGGACAACUCACCAGGGACGACGAUUACAUGAAGGCCAGGCUGAUGACCUUGCCUGAUUUUC